UAACUCUUGGAGGUGUACAUCAUUAUACACGAGGGCUUUACAUAGGGUCAAGGCAUCCCAUUUAGUAAAUCCAUCCAAUCAUAUCCGAUGGUUAAUCUAACCAUACCUGUCCAAAACCAAGAAAGUUAACAAAGGCAAUGUUUCUCAUAUACAAAUACUAAGUAAUAUAGGUAAAAGUAGUCAACUACUAUAAUAGAGACAACAAAAGUAGUUUUGUAUAUUUACCUACGUCCACGUACAUAUGAUGAUCUAGGACGAAUGGAAGGACUAGUUAUCCGAAACCUAAAAAACAAACCCCGGGUAAUGUCUCAUCUAGUGGCCGCC
rnacentral:lncRNA from 1 species